rnacentral:rRNA from 1 species
UACGUAGGGGGCAAGCGUUAUCCGGAUUCACUGGGUGUAAGGGGAGCGUAGGUGGCAAGGCAAGUCAGAUGUGAAAACCCGGGGCCCAACCCCGGGAGUGCAUUUGAAACUGUCUGGCUAGAGUGCAGGAGAGGUAAGUGGAAUUCCUAGUGUAGCGGUGAAAUGCAUAGAUAUUAGGAGGAACACCAGUGGCGAAGGCGGCUUACUGGACUGUAACUGACACUGAGGCUCGAAAGCGUGGGGAGCAAACAGG